UUUUUUUUUUUUUUUUCUUCUUUUUCUCUUGUUUUUUUUUUUUAACAGGAAGUUCUUACUCUACACCCACGUAAAAAUAAAAAAGCAAA
rnacentral:ribozyme from 11 species